UCUCAGCUCUGAAGUCCAACCCCUCCCAUCUGGAACAUCUGUACCUGGGGCUACAACAACCUGCAGGAUUCAGGAGUGAAACAUCUGAGUGGUUUUCUGAAGAGUCCAGACUGCAUCCUGAAGACUCUGGGAUUGAUGGACUGCAGUUUGUCAGAGAUCAGCUGUGAUUCUCUGGUCUCAGCUCUGAAGUCCAACCCCUCCCAUCUGGAACAUCUGUACCUGAGAGGAAACAACCUGCAGGAUUCAGGAGUGAAACAUCUGAGUGGUUUUCUGGAGAGUCCAGACUGCAGCCUGCAGACUCUAAGAUGGGAGUGAUGCUGAUCAGGACGGUGUUUGUGCUGAGAGGAUGAAGUGUGUCCUGAUGAUCCAGAUGUUGAAGCAGCAGCAGCUGGUGUGUAGAGACUCUGACUGGACCAUGUUACUGCACUGUAAAACAUCAGGAAUUCAUUCAGUCAAAUCAACUCAUCUGUUCUAGUUUACUUUAGAGAAAUACAGGAGUUUAACUAAUUACUAAUUAUUUGAACUUAAAAUGUCUCAUUUUUCUUUUCAGACCACUUUAGAACUUAAAAACAUGAAUUUGUAGAACUUGAGGCAUUUUUUCUUCAAAUAUUGAGUUGAAUGAAUGAACAGCUCAGAGUUCACUCAACUCAUGAAAUUAAGUUCACAAGAAACAAAACAAACACAGAUUUCCCCGUUAAUGUUCACAUGAUACCAUGACUGUAAAAAAUGAUCAUUAUUUUACAACCAGUUCUGUUUGUUUUGUUCAAUUACAAACAAUAUCUAGUAAAAUCCCAGAAAAGUAUUAACUUCCAUGUUCAACUGUAAAUAAUGUCCACAUCAAUAGGGUUAGGUAUUUUAAUAAAUACUCAUUUGUUCUUUAACAACAUUUUUACUUUAUUUUAAUCAGCAACAAGUCAGAUUAUUUUACAGAUAUUUGUCCUCAUUUUAAAGACUAUUUAUGUUUAUUAAAGAUUGAAAAUGAGAAAUAUUUUCACACUUAAUUUACAUUUUUGCUGUGUUUUGUUAAAUUACAGAUAAUCUGGAAUAAAAUCACAGAAAAAAUGUUCAUUUAUUCAGAAUGUUUGCUGUAAAAAACUGUAGAAUUUAACUCUCACACUCUUGUUUAUUGAAUUUAAAUCAGCAAAAAAUAUCAUUUUUCCAGAAUCUGAAGGACAAACUAUGUAUAUGUAUACGAUAUAUAUUAAUUCUAUUAAAGGCAGAAAUGAUUCCAAAGCA